UGGGGAAUAUUGGACAAUGGGCGCAAGCCUGAUCCAGCAAUGCCGCGUGGGUGAAGACGGCCUGCGGGUUGUAAAGCCCUUUAGGCGGGGAGGAACGGCGUCGUGCGAACAGUGCGGCGUUCUGACGGUACCCGCGGAAUAAGCACCGGCCAACUCCGUGCCAGCAGCCGCGGUAAUACGGAGGGUGCGAGCGUUAAUCGGAAUUACUGGGCGUAAAGCGUGCGUAGGCGGUUUUGUCAGUCAGCCGUGAAAGCCCCGGGCUCAACCUGGGAACGGCGGUUGAGACGGCGAAACUGGAGUGGGCUAGAGGACCGUGGAAUUCCCGGUGUAGCGGUGAAAUGCGUAGAGAUCGGGAGGAACACCGAUGGCGAAGGCAGCGGUCUGGGGCCACACUGACGCUGAGGCACGACGGCGUGGGGAGCAAACAGG
rnacentral:rRNA from 1 species